GCUACAGGCUUAACACAUGCAAGUCGAGGGGCAGCAUGGUCUUAGCUUGCUAAGGCCGAUGGCGACCGGCGCACGGGUGAGUAACACGUAUCCAACCUGCCGUCUACUCUUGGACAGCCUUCUGAAAGGAAGAUUAAUACAAGAUGGCAUCAUGAGUCCGCAUGUUCACAUGAUUAAAGGUAUUCCGGUAGACGAUGGGGAUGCGUUCCAUUAGAUAGUAGGCGGGGUAACGGCCCACCUAGUCUUCGAUGGAUAGGGGUUCUGAGAGGAAGGUCCCCCACAUUGGAACUGAGACACGGUCCAAACUCCUACGGGAGGCAGCAGUGAGGAAUAUUGGUCAAUGGGCGAGAGCCUGAACCAGCCAAGUAGCGUGAAGGAUGACUGCCCUAUGGGUUGUAAACUUCUUUUAUAAAGGAAUAAAGUCGGGUAUGCAUACCCGUUUGCAUGUACUUUAUGAAUAAGGAUCGGCUAACUCCGUGCCAGCAGCCGCGGUAAUACGGAGGAUCCGAGCGUUAUCCGGAUUUAUUGGGUUUAAAGGGAGCGUAGAUGGAUGUUUAAGUCAGUUGUGAAAGUUUGCGGCUCAACCGUAAAAUUGCAGUUGAUACUGGAUAUCUUGAGUGCAGUUGAGGCAGGCGGAAUUCGUGGUGUAGCGGUGAAAUGCUUAGAUAUCACGAAGAACUCCGAUUGCGAAGGCAGCCUGCUAAGCUGCAACUGACAUUGAGGCUCGAAAGUGUGGGUAUCAAACAGGAUUAGAUACCCUGGUAGUCCACACGGUAAACGAUGAAUACUCGCUGUUUGCGAUAUACGGCAAGCGGCCAAGCGAAAGCGUUAAGUAUUCCACCUGGGGAGUACGCCGGCAACGGUGAAACUCAAAGGAAUUGACGGGGGCCCGCACAAGCGGAGGAACAUGUGGUUUAAUUCGAUGAUACGCGAGGAACCUUACCCGGGCUUAAAUUGCAGAUGAAUUACGGUGAAAGCCGUAAGCCGCAAGGCAUCUGUGAAGGUGCUGCAUGGUUGUCGUCAGCUCGUGCCGUGAGGUGUCGGCUUAAGUGCCAUAACGAGCGCAACCCUUGUUGUCAGUUACUAACAGGUUCCGCUGAGGACUCUGACAAGACUGCCAUCGUAAGAUGUGAGGAAGGUGGGGAUGACGUCAAAUCAGCACGGCCCUUACGUCCGGGGCUACACACGUGUUACAAUGGGGGGUACAGAGGGCCGCUACCACGCGAGUGGAUGCCAAUCCCCAAAACCUCUCUCAGUUCGGACUGGAGUCUGCAACCCGACUCCACGAAGCUGGAUUCGCUAGUAAUCGCGCAUCAGCCACGGCGCGGUGAAUACGUUCCCGGGCCUUGUACACACCGCCCGUCAAGCCAUGGGAGCCGGGGGUACCUGAAGUGCGUAACCGCGAGGAGCGCCCUAGGGUAAAACUGGUGACUGGGGCUAAGUA
rnacentral:rRNA from 1 species